UACGUAGGGUGCAAGCGUUGUCCGGAAUUAUUGGGCGUAAAGAGCUCGUAGGCGGUCUGUCGCGUCUGCUGUGAAAUCCUGGAGCUUAACUUCAGAAAUGCACUGGAUACUGCUUUGCUAGAGGACUGGAGAGGAGAUUGGAAUUCACGGUGUAGCAGUGAAAUGCGUAGAUAUCGUGAGGAAGACCAGUGGCGUAAGCGAAUCUCUGGACAGUUCCUGACGCUGAGGCACGAAGGCUAGGGGAGCAAACGGG
rnacentral:rRNA from 1 species